rnacentral:sRNA from 1 species
CCCGCCAAGCCUCUUCAUAAUGCUUAAAUAGGCGGGU